rnacentral:lncRNA from 1 species
AAACCCAAGUUAGCCUAUAAACAAAUUGUAACCCAAUUCAACCAGUAUUAGGGAUGUCAAUGGGUCAGAUUCAAGAUGGAUUUUCAAAAAUCCAAAUGCGAACUCAAAUUCGAUGGAUUUUAAAAAUCCAUAUCCAAACCAGCACCCGAUCAAAAAUUCGAAACCUACAACGGAAUCUGAACUCUAAAAUCCGAACCCAAAAUAAAUAUUUUUCUUUCCAAUAUUUCAAAACAUAUUACAUUAAAUCUAAAUUUUUAAAACACAAAUUUAAAUAUAACGUCAAACAUUUUUAUAUAUAUUAUAUAAUGUAAAAUCAACUCAGGUGUGAGGCGGGUUCGGAUUUGGGUUAGAUAUAGUCAAAAUUCAUAUCUGAAUUCAAAUCCGUUGGGUUUCAUUUGUAAUAUCUAUAUCUAAAACUAUAUAUGUUCAUAUCUGCUAUGUUCAUAUCUGCUUCAUUCAGGUUCAGGUUCGGAUAAAAUUUCGGAUAUCCACACCUGAUUGACAUCCCUAACCAGUUCGAAGUCAGCCUAUAAUCUUAAUUUAGCCUAUUAACAAAUCCAAUCCAUAAACUAAUUCAGAUAAUAAAUUGAAUCCAUUCAUAAACUAAAUCCAGCUCACAAACAAAAUUCAAUCCAUAAAAUCUAGUUAAGCCCAAAACCGAUCGAGUCUACAACCCAAAUCAAACUCAUAAAUCAAACUAAACCCAUAAACCAAAUUCGAUCUAUAAAGCAACUCCAACCAACAUCAAAGAAACCAAAUCUAGCCCACAAAUCAAAUCCAGCCCACAUAAUAUAAUUACCCAGAAAUCAAAUUCAAAGAUCAUUACAUUUUUGUUAGCCUUUUAAGUAUUAUUUUUUAACUUUUUUUUUGUAAAUUGGGGGUAAAUAAUAUUUUGGGUUAAUUGUAUUCAGCGCCCUGCAAACAUAUCGAAUAUUGAAUAGUAAAUAUAUCAUUACAAUGUUCAACUUUUUAUUUUUAUUUCUGAAAAAGUCAAGUGAUAUUUAUAGUUGUCCCUCUGGUUUGUUACUGUUAGAGCAUAGUUUAUUUUUUAAUAGAAGUAAGUGAAUAAUAUUUUAGCCGUUACAAAUAUAUCUCUCCAAAAGCCCGAACUAUUAGAAUUAUGUAGAAAUAUUCUUCCAACAAGUAUUUUAUCAAAUAAUAUAAGAGGGAUAAAAAAGUCAAUUUAAUUUAUUCAUUAAUUAGGGUUAAAUAUUUUACUCAUGGUUAACUGUAUUUUUCUAAUGGAUUGUAACAGCAACGAUAUAUUUAAAAACGACGGGAUUUUUGGAGGGAUAAAAUUAAAAAGUUGAACUUUUUAAGUUUAUCG